rnacentral:tRNA from 1 species
GUUUAUAUAGUUUAAAAAACAUUACAUUUUCAUUGUGAAGAUAAUAUAAGAUAAAAUAUUUAUAAAUA